AUUGAACGCUGGCGGCAGGCUUAACACAUGCAAGUCGAGCGGGGUGAUGGUGCUUGCACUAUCACUUAGCGGCGGACGGGUGAGUAAUGCUUAGGAAUCUGCCUAUUAGUGGGGGACAACAUCUCGAAAGGGAUGCUAAUACCGCAUACGUCCUACGGGAGAAAGCAGGGGAUCACUUGUGACCUUGCGCUAAUAGAUGAGCCUAAGUCGGAUUAGCUAGUUGGUGGGGUAAAGGCCUACCAAGGCGACGAUCUGUAGCGGGUCUGAGAGGAUGGUCCGCCUCACUGGGACUGAGACACGGCCCAGACUCCUACGGGAGGCAGCAGUGGGGAAUAUUGGACAAUGGGGGGAACCCUGAUCCAGCCAUGCCGCGUGUGUGAAGAAGGCCUUAUGGUUGUAAAGCACUUUAAGCGAGGAGGAGGCUCUUUUGGUUAAUACCCAAGAUGAGUGGACGUUACUCGCAGAAUAAGCACCGGCUAACUCCGUGCCAGCCGCCGCUGUAA
rnacentral:rRNA from 1 species